rnacentral:rRNA from 1 species
AUGAACGCUGGCGGCGUGCCUAAUACAUGCAAGUCGAGCGAACAGACGAGGAGCUUGCUCCUCUGACGUUAGCGGCGGACGGGUGAGUAACACGUGGAUAACCUACCUAUAAGACUGGGAUAACUUCGGGAAACCGGAGCUAAUACCGGAUAAUAUAUUGAACCGCAUGGUUCAAUAGUGAAAGACGGUUUUGCUGUCACUUAUAGAUGGAUCCGCGCCGCAUUAGCUAGUUGGUAAGGUAACGGCUUACCAAGGCGACGAUGCGUAGCCGACCUGAGAGGGUGAUCGGCCACACUGGAACUGAGACACGGUCCAGACUCCUACGGGAGGCAGCAGUAGGGAAUCUUCCGCAAAGGGCGAAAGCCUGACGGAGCAAAGCCGCGUGAGUGAUGAAGGUCUUCGUAUCGUAAAACUCUGUUAUGAGGGAAGAACAAAUGUGUAAGUAACUAUGCACGGCUUGACGGUACCUAAUCAGAAAGCCACGGCUAACUACGUG